AUGAAGAAAAAAUGCACUGAACUGAGAGAGCUGCUGCAGGUCUGGCUAAGGCCAAGCUGGUUCCAGUGGGUGUUUUGGGGGGUGCACAGCACUGGCCAAAUCAGCCCUGAUCAGUGGUUCUGGUUCUACAGCACUAACAUGGCUUUCCUGUCAUUUUUCCAUUUCAUUUAUGGCUCACUGUGCAAACGGAAAUUUAGCUGCCUUGUUCCCUCACAGUGCUCAUCCUGGCCAUGUGAAGAGCUGUCCCAGAGCAACAUGAGCAGCAGUCACAGGACAGAAAUAACUGUCCUCAGGUGGCACCAGGGCCAGCUCACACAGCUCACACAGCUCUCACAGCUCACAGAGCCCGGGCAGAGCUGCAGAGCAGCUGCACAGGGGCACUGGCAGUGCAGCUCCCCUGCUUGAGGCUGGGAGGUUUAUGGAGCUCAGGAUUCCUGAGUGCAUUUUGGUCCUUUCCCUCUGCCCUGCCUCAAAUGAGGGCUACAGGCCUCAGUGAUGAGGAAUUUGGGACAACAUCUGCUCUGAAGAAGGGAGGUUAAGGGUUUUGGGGUGGGAGGCCAGUUUGCUGCAGCAGUGGGGAGCAGUGUUAGGACUCAACAUCAGCAGUGAAAUUGUUAAUGCCUUACAGAGGAGUGAAAACUGGUAAAGAAUGCUGGUUGCUUCAAUAAAAACACAUUUUCAGAAUUGAAGGGAAAAAUAUUUUUAUUCCAUUUAUGUUUCUCUGAAGAGCCAAAGAGAUGCAACAAAGCAUGUGAAUGUUACUCUUUGCUACAGCGUGAGCUCUGUUCUGACCCAAUACGUGUCUCAUCAUGGAAACUCAUUUGUGCUUAACACUACUUUUCCAGAAUGUUCUGUAGUGGUGGUGUUUCCCAGUUGGUGUCUUCUUUAGAUACUAAUCAGAAAUCUGGAAGAAUCAAAAUUACUUGAACAAAGCUCCUAUUAAAAUAUGGGCAAAGCUAGAGGAGUGGGUACCAUCCCGCACUGAGGUAUUGCUGUGCUUUCUUGCUGUCAAAUAAAGGUAUUUGUUUAUUAAAAGCACCACUUGAUGUGACCUUUUCAUACAGGGAUGCAUUAUGACUUGCCAGGCAUGAAUGAGCCAAUUCUGGAAGCACUGAAAAGGAGCUUUGCUAUCCAACAAAGUUUUCUCUAAGAAGUACAUUCAGGAAAAUACAGCCAAGCACGAGGAGCUGAGGAACUGGAUUGACAGCUGAUGAAAGGGUGUUUAUAGAUGGGCAGCCAUGGAGAAUUGUAUAAUGGAAGUCACUGAAGAGGUAUGUCUGGAAAAGAAAACACUGACAAUUUUCUAUCAUUACAAGUGCCAGAUUGACAGAGGGAGUGGGAACUUGUUUUUCCAGCUCAAGAAAAGAGCAAGACCUUUGAAUGGUUUUCAUUAAUAUUGCCUGUGAAUACAAAUAUUUCACACAAAUAAAACUUGGAUUUCAGAUCAAGGAACUUGUGCAGUGUUACUGCAGCAUUGCCAUAUUUCAGGAUAAGACAGGGGGAAAAUACACCACAAAAUAAAUAAGGCAGGGGGGAAAUACACCACAAAAUACAAUUUUCUUAUGUGGAUAAGACAGGGGGAAAAUACACCACAAAAUACAAUUUUCUUAUGUGUAGGAAACAGUAAACACCUCAGCUGUCAUGUGAAAAGUGCAGAAUUGUGAUAGCUGAAACCAGAGCCUGUGACAGGGGGUACACCAGGUGAGUAGAGAACUUUCCCCACUCACUCCUCUCUGUAUCACCCCUGCACUGUUACCUCUGCACAAUUCAGUUCUGGUGACCUAUGACAAAUGGCACUUGAGGCUUGUAUUCAUUUCCCUCAGAAGUGCAGCCUGAGUCACUGCCAUUGUCACCAAACCCUUUUCAGGGUGGAAUUCAGUGACAUCUCGUGCUGCAGUGAGCUGGUUGAUCUCUGGAGCAGGGCUCUGAACCAGGGUGCUGUUUGCCUUCCUAAUAGAAACACAAUACCUGGAUUUUUACAUAGCAGUGUAGGCCUGGUUGGGUUUGACAAUCUGGGGGUUUGAUACCCACUAUGGAG
ensembl:lncRNA